AAUGUAGCAAUACAUGGCGAACUGCUCAGUAACACGUGGACAACCUGCCCUUAGGACGGGGAUAAACCCGGGAAACUGGGUAUAAUACCCGAUAGGUCUCGAUUGCUGGAAUGCAUCGAGAUUUAAAGCUCCGGCGCCUAAGGAUGGGUCUGCGGCCUAUCAGGUAGUAGUGGGUGUAGCGUACCUACUAGCCUACGACGGGUACGGGUUGUGAGAGCAAGAGCCCGGAGAUGGAUUCUGAGACACGAAUCCAGGCCCUACGGGGUGCAGCAGGCGCGAAAACUUUACAAUGCUGGCAACAGCGAUAAGGGAACCUCGAGUGCCAGGUUACAAAUCUGGCUGUCGAGAUGCCUAAAAAGCAUUUCAUAGCAAGGGCCGGGCAAGACCGGUGCCAGCCGCCGCGGUAACACCGGCGGCUCGAGUGGUAACCGUUAUUAUUGGGUCUAAAGGGUCUGUAGCCGGCCGGAUAAGUCUCUUGAGAAAUCUGGCAGCUUAACUGUCAGGCUUUCAGGAGAUACUGUCUGGCUCGAGGCCGGGAGAGGUGAGAGGUACUUCAGGGGUAGGGGUGAAAUCUUGUAAUCCUUGAAGGACCACCAGUGGCGAAGGCGUCUCACCAGAACGGACCUGACGGCAAGGGACGAAAGCUAGGGGCACGAACCGGAUUAGAUACCCGGGUAGUCCUAGCCGUAAACGAUACUCGCUAGGUGUCGGCCACGGUGCGACCGUUGUCGGUGCCGUAGGGAAGCCGUGAAGCGAGCCACCUGGGAAGUACGGCCGCAAGGCUGAAACUUAAAGGAAUUGGCGGGGGAGCACCACAACGGGUGGAGCUUGCGGUUUAAUUGGAUUCAACGCCGGG
rnacentral:rRNA from 1 species